CCAGACUCCUACGGGAGGCAGCAGUGAGGAGUAUUGGUCAAUGGUCGGGAGACUGAACCAGCCAAGCCGCGUGAGGGAUGAAGGUACAGAGUAUCGUAAACCUCUUUUGUCAGGGAACAAAGGCGGGGACGCGUCCCCGGAUGAGUGUACCUGAAGAAAAAGCAUCGGCUAACUCCGUGCCAGCAGCCGCGGUAAUACGGAGGAUGCGAGCGUUAUCCGGAUUUAUUGGGUUUAAAGGGUGCGCAGGCGGUCUGUUAAGUCAGCGGUAAAAUCGCGGGGCUCAACCUCGCUCCGCCGUUGAAACUGGCGUUCUUGAGUGGGCGAGAAGUAUGCGGAAUGCGUGGUGUAGCGGUGAAAUGCAUAGAUAUCGCGCAGAACUCCGAUUGCGAAGGCAGCAUGCCGGCUCCACACUGACGCUGAGGCACGAAAGCGUGGGUAUCGAACAGGAUUAGAUACCCUUGUA
rnacentral:rRNA from 1 species